AGCAUAUCAAUAAGCGGAGGAAAAGAAACCAACCGGGAUUGCCUCAGUAACGGCGAGUGAAGCGGCAAGAGCUCAAAUUUGAAAGCUGGCCCCUUCGGGGUCCGCAUUGUAAUUUGCAGAGGAUGCUUCGGAUAUGGCCCCCGUCUAAGUGCCCUGGAACGGGCCGUCGGAGAGGGUGAGAAUCCCGUCUGGGACGGGGUGUCCGUGUCCGUGUGAAGCUCCUUCGACGAGUCGAGUUGUUUGGGAAUGCAGCUCUAAAUGGGUGGUAAAUUUCAUCUAAAGCUAAAUACUGGCCGGAGACCGAUAGCGCACAAGUAGAGUGAUCGAAAGAUGAAAAGCACUUUGAAAAGAGAGUUAAAAAGCACGUGAAAUUGUUGAAAGGGAAGCGCUUGCGACCAGACUCGCCUGCGGGGUUCAGCCGGGAUUCGUCCCGGUGUACUUCCCCGUAGGCGGGCCAGCGUCGGUUUGGGCGGCCGGUCAAAGGCCUCCGGAAUGUAUCGCCCCCCGGGGCGUCUUAUAGCCGGAGGUGCAAUGCGGCCUGCCUGGACCGAGGAACGCGCUUCGGCACGGACGCUGGCAUAAUGGUCGUAAGCGACC
rnacentral:rRNA from 1 species